rnacentral:rRNA from 1 species
AUCGGUUUAAAGGGNACCUAGACGGUAGAUCAAGCUUUCAAAUAAAAAAAAGGACUAAUUUACCAGAGUUACUUNUGAGGGGGUAGUAAAGUACUGGUGGUGUAGAGAUGAAAUUCUGUCAUACCUCUUUUCAAAAGAAAACAUAUGGCACAGGUAUAGGCGAAGGCAUCCCCCCUAUGUGAUAACWGACGUUGAGGGACGAGGGCGACGUGGAACAAACAGGAUUAGAUACCCUCGUAGUUGUAGCAGAAAAUGAUGAAUGUCAUAGAUUAGAUGUAUAAGUUUAUUCUAUAAAUGAAAGUGURAGCAUUCCACCUCCAGAGUAAUUUGGCAACAUUGGAACUGAAAUCAUUAGACCGUUUCUGAAACCCGUAGUGAAGUAUGUUGUUUAAUUUGAUGAUCCGCAAAAAACCYUACCACAAUUUGAAUAUAUAUAUAAUUUAUUGUUUUUUCAUAAUUUAGAAAUAAAAAGGCAAUAAAACAUAUUUACNAGCGUUGCACGGCGGUCUUCAGUUAAUGUCGUGAGACUUUGGUUAGUUCC